GGGGUGGCAUAGCGUUUUGCUCCAUGGGGCUGUCUCCCUCGGGUGUGAGCAUGGGCCUCUGUAAGCCAAGGCGGUGUGUGAUCUGCUGGCCAGGCCGAAUCCUUUUGGCGUCGUGCAGAGUCAGGAAAGUGAACUCUUUCCCCUCCCACUCCUGGGUUCAGUUAGGACUGGGUGCAAUGCCUUCGGUCUUUGAACCAGCCUGCAGGAGGCCAAGUCAGCCUGUCCCCGGAGGGCAGGGCCCAGAGCUUUCUUGUGGGCUCCGUGGUGGAGCAGGAGAGGCCGAAGUUGGAGUUCCGGCAGUGGACACUUGCUGUCUGGCUGCUGACUUCUCCAGGGGUUGCCGCUCAGUGGCCCACAGUUUUGUGUAUGAGCAAGAUGGAAGGUGAUGUGUCUGGCUUUAACAUCGAUGCCCCCCGUUGGGACCAGCGCACUUUCCUGGGGCGAGUGAAGCAUUUCUUCAAUAUCACAGACCCCCGCACUGUCCUGGUACCAGAGCAGGAGCUGGACUGGGCCAAGGUGAUGGUGGAGAAGAGUAGGACGGGGGUCGUGCCCCCAGGCACCCAAGUCGAGCAGCUGCUGUAUGCCAAGAAGCUCUACGACUCGGCCUUCCACCCUGACACUGGGGAGAAGAUGAACGUCAUUGGGCGGAUGUCCUUCCAGGUCCCUGGUGGCAUGAUCAUCACCGGCUUCAUGCUCCAGUUCUACAGGACGAUGCCGGCGGUGAUCUUCUGGCAGUGGGUGAACCAGUCCUUCAAUGCCUUGGUCAACUACACCAACAGGAAUGCAGCUUCCCCCACAUCGCUCAGGCAGAUGGCCCUUUCCUACAUCUCAGCUACAACCACUGCCGUGGCCACUGCUGUUAGCAUGAACAUGUUGACAAAGAAAGCACCACCCCUGGUGGGCCGCUGGGUGCCUUUUGCUGCCGUGGCCGCAGCUAACUGUGUCAACAUUCCAAUGAUGAGACAGCAGGAACUCAUCGAGGGCAUCUGUGUGAAGGACAGGAAUGACAAUGAGAUUGGUCAGUCCCGGAGAGCUGCAGCCAUAGGCAUCACCCAAGUGGUUAUUUCUCGGAUCACCAUGGCAGCCCCUGGCAUGAUCUUGCUGCCAGUCCUCAUGGAAAGGCUGGAGAAACUGUGUUUCAUGAAGAAAGUCAAGGUCCUGCAUGCCCCAUUGCAGGUUAUGCUGUCUGGGUGCUUCCUCAUCUUCAUGGUGCCAGUGGCAUGUGGGCUUUUCCCACAGAAAUGGUAUCAGCUCUUCGUUCUUCACUUUGUUUUACUGAACAGCCUGUCUCUGCUCUCCCUGACCUGCCUGCUGUCCUGAAGGAGAGAGGGAGGGGCAGGAAGGGCAUCAUUUGUCCAAGGACAAAUGCCUAUCAGCCUAAACUCUGGGCUUCUUAACCCCAGUGAAUUGCCAGUUUCCUACCUGGAACCAGAGCUCCAAGACACCAUCAGGGCCAAGUAUAGAGAACUCGUGCCUUAUGUCUACUUCAAUAAGGGUCUCUAAAUGCCCCAUCCCAGCAAGGACCAGUCUAUACCCAUAUUCACCAGCUCCUCCUUAGCUGCUGUGUAUACCUGUGCCCUCACUCCUCUUUGCCAAUAUGGCCUGAAGGCCAGAGUGGAUUGGCCGGGGGCAGUGGGGAGGAGGGGGCGGGAGGAUGCCUCGUGCUUCCACCCAGGCACCUGGUUUAUUGGACUCCAGGGGAUAAAGGUGAACAAGGGGAGCAAAGAUCAAGUCUUCUGUCUGCUCCAUCCUUCACCCCCAUCCCCUGGAGACCAGGACCCCCUCAGGGAGAAGUUGCUGAGACCUGGGGGAGACACUGAAGCAAACCAUUUGGAGAAAUCAGGAAACUUUUGGGAUUCUGUUUCCAGCCAAGAUUAGGGAAGAGCCCCUGGGACAAAGAGUUGCUCCUGUUCCUCUUCCCUCCUCCUCGUCUUCUCAAGCUGUGGACCCUCUUACCCAUGCAAUUCUAGCUAACUCAGGAAGGGCGAGGGAAGAGGUCUGUGUCACCUUGGGGCUCUCCUGCUCUCUUCCUCAUUCUCCUCCGCAUGCCCCCUAGUCCGAAAGCUUCUUUGGGAGAGCUGCUGAACUUGAGUUUCUCAGGCACGCAGGAGUUCUUCAUGCUGAAAAAGCUCCGUGUGAGGCAGCAGAGUUUCAGGUGCUUCAAACCCUGUCUGUUGACACUGACUUUGUUCUCCUGCCCUAAAAUCAUGUCUGAUUUUACUUCUGUGUUUAAAAGAUAAAUCCACUAACUGUGAGUAAAAAGGAUGUAUGUAGGCAUUAACUCCACAUUGUAAUGGGUAUGAUUUCCAGGCUACCUCCCUUCCUCAGCCCAUCGGGUUAAACACCAAAGACUGGUGUGUACUGAAUAGGAAAGGGAAGGUUUAUUUGGACACUGCUAAGAGGAAAUCAGCCAGGACCAAAGAGCCUUAAAGGACACACAGCAAAGCACAGCUGCUCGCCCUUCCCAGGUUGGAUUCUAUAGGCGAUUUCUCAAGCUCUGGGGGCAGGGGCGGGCCUGUUAUGGCUUACUUGAGAUCAAUGUCUGUAUGAGUUUUGUCUAGUAGAAUUUACUGACUGUUCAAAAGACAUCGCUGUGAAUUAAAUAAAUUUCUUGAAAGAGCACAAUGACC